UACGUAGGGGCUAGCGUUAUCCGGAAUUACUGGGCGUAAAGGGUGCGUAGGUGGUUUCUUAAGUCAGAGGUGAAAGGCUACGGCUCAACCGUAGUAAGCCUUUGAAACUGGGAAACUUGAGUGCAGGAGAGGAGAGUGGAAUUCCUAGUGUAGCGGUGAAAUGCGUAGAUAUUAGGAGGAACACCAGUUGCGAAGGCGGCUCUCUGGACUGUAACUGACGCUGAGGCACGAAAGCGUGGGGAGCAAACAGGAUUAGAUACCCGGGUAGUCCCUGAGCGGGCU
rnacentral:rRNA from 1 species